GCCCAUUUGGCUCAGUGGAUAGAGCAUUGGUGUGAGGACCGAAGGGUCCCGGGUUCGAUUCCGGUCAAGGGCA
rnacentral:tRNA from 1 species